UACGGGGGGAGCUAGCGUUAUUCGGAAUUACUGGGCGUAAAGCGCACGUAGGCGGCUUUGUAAGUAAGAGGUGAAAGCCUGGAGCUCAACUCCAGAAUAGCCUUUUAGACUGCAUCGCUUGAAUCAUGGAGAGGUGAGUGGAAUUCCGAGUGUAGAGGUGAAAUUCGUAGAUAUUCGGAAGAACACCAGUGGCGAAGGCGGCUCACUGGACAUGUAUUGACGCUGAGGUGCGAAAGCGUGGGGAGCAAACAGG
rnacentral:rRNA from 1 species